CGCCUGGCCUUGAUCGUUUCUCCACUCCAGCUCGUUUUCCGAACUCUCAUCGUUGUAGGUACCUGGAAAAAGAGCAAGAAAGCGCUGUUACAGCCUUGACUCAUCUUGGUUCUGCUCUCCACAGGAGGGAAUAAUUAACAGAAACUCCAAGUAUCACACAAGUGGAAGAAAGAGUCUGAAAAGUUCUUCUGAAAGCCGAGAUCAUGAGCCCAUUGUUUGCUGAGGAUCAAAUCAAGGUUGGCUAUGACUCACCUUCUAAAUGGAUGGCUGCCUUGGCUUUGCUGCUGAUUCGGCUCAGCGUGUAGUGGGGAUCUGAGAAGAGGAAGACAAAUGUGAGCUUGUCUUAAAACAUCUACAAAUACUCAAAUAUGUCUCACAAAACCAGCCUGUUAAAAAAAUUAACACCCAUGCAUGUAAUCACCUGUUUUCUUCGAUGUGUCCUCCUUUAUUUGUGCUUCUGUUUGGCCUGAUUGCAUCUGUAUGGAGAGAAUAAAACAGAUUACAGAAAGAAACA